GUGGGGAAUAUUGGACAAUGGGCGCAAGCCUGAUCCAGCCAUGCCGCGUGAGUGAUGACGGCCUUAGGGUUGUAAAGCUCUUUCAGUGGGGACGAUAAUGACGGUACCCACAGAAGAAGCCCCGGCUAACUUCGUGCCAGCAGCCGCGGUAAUACGAAGGGGGCUAGCGUUGUUCGGAUUUACUGGGCGUAAAGCGCACGUAGGCGGAUCGUUAAGUCGGGGGUGAAAUCCUGGAGCUCAACUCCAGAACUGCCUUCGAUACUGGCGAUCUUGAGUCCGGAAGAGGUGAGUGGAACUCCUAGUGUAGAGGUGGAAUUCGUAGAUAUUAGGAAGAACACCAGUGGCGAAGGCGGCUCACUGGUCCGGUACUGACGCUGAGGUGCGAAAGCGUGGGGAGCAAACAGGAUUAGAUACCCCAGUAGUCC
rnacentral:rRNA from 1 species